ACCAAAAAUAUGAACAUGGUGUCCUUUUGCAAUUUUAACCUGAAAUUGUGAUAAAAUUGCUAGAUGAUCUAAAAUUACUACUUCGUUUACAAAAACAUUCUUUAAAUAAUUUUUCGAGUGAAUUUUUAAAAAUUUUAAAAUUUAUCUUUACACGUCAUAUUUAAUUCAUCCAAUGUCGUGCAAUAGCAGCAAAACCAAUACCAACCGGUCCGACCCUGCGACUCCGGUCCGGUUCACCACCGACGCCGCCGCUAAUUUGAUGUGAGCAACAGCCACCAUUUAAACGAUGACGUUCUAUUGGCCUCGUUUUCUUAUGCUUCGCCGUCAUCCUCAACGACACCGGCGGUGUUGGUGCCCUGCGCUUUGCUUUCACCGCAGAAGUAUUGCACUUGUAUUCUUGGAAGAAUCUUACCUCAAAAGUUUGCACAUCGUUGAGCAGCCGGUCAACCAUGGAGACAUGCCUACACAGAUCAAUGCACUCUUCACUCAGAAGCAUUUCAUCGGAUAGUUUUAUACCGAUGAAUUGCAUCGACAUGAGAAUGCAGAUUCUGCAGCCAAUUGACACCCAGGAGGCAGACAAGUAAUCAUCCAAGGUUAGUGCCGUGUCAUCGCUCCAUGUAUCCAAUUCUCUCUUGAAAAUUGUUAGUAUUUGAACCCACUGCACUUGUAGCAAACAUAAAAAUUACUUACCAGGAAAACAAAUACUAUAAGAUGUUAUGCAAUCAUUUAAAGCAUCUUGUUAAUACAACGUACCAGCUUAAUUAGAAAAUCUUUAACACUACGUCCUUGUUCAACAUGAGCCCUCUCUGCCAACUCAUUUACUGUGUUGUAUACUGCUGUAAAAAGAAUUUCAACUUCCUCGGAACCAUAUUCUGCGGCUGGCUUCUCUUUCCAUCUGUUUUUUCACGUUUCGUAGGGACAAAGUUACUAGCUUAUUAUACAUGAAUAAAAAAGAAAAGAAAGCAAUGAACAGAUGAGUUUGUGGAAGGAAGUUUACUCUUUUAUUAAUUCAAGGAUCUUGUAGGACUCUUCUCUAGACCCACGAUGAUCGAAAAAAUCAUCAAUACGUGUCACAAGCACAAUAUGUUGGGCAAAGACUAUGCGAACAUCAGACAAUUCAGGAUCACCAAUAAUUGCUGAAGUUAGAAAAUUAGCAACACGCACUACAUCUCUUCCAUACUUCAAGGUGUCCAACUUACAAUCUGCAUACCACCUACAUGCAUUUUGGUUUAAUGUAUCAAGUAUGUUACUCCUUAUUUAGAUGAAGUUUUAUGGUUAAGCUAUCACAUUGUCAUACCUUUGCAGUUGCUGAAGUUCUUUCUGGUGUUGGGCUUGGCAAAUGUUAAAAUCUUGCCUCGCAAAUGCUAGAAAAUCUUCACUACGUAGAUUAGAGAACCUAAAACAAAGAAAAAAAACAUGUUUUUUGCUUAGUAUAGAUCGGCAGAAACAGUUUAUCAGAUAUGAGGCAGAUUCAACAUACUGAAUGCUACACUCUUUACCUAUUUGCAGCUUUUGCAGUUCGAUAAUAGCUUAUAUCAUAUAAGUCGAGGUUUUGUCUAACUCCCAUUCUAUCUAAUAUCCCAUGAUAGUUCUUCAAGUAGUAUUCCACCUUGACAUUUUUGUGAAAGAAAAAACUUGAUCAAUAUAAAAUUUAAUCUUGAAAAGGUGACUAUUUUAAGCUGAUUAAGAAAAACAUUAAUUAGUAAGCACCAGUUUGUGCAACUUCUUGUCAGGAAUGGAGUUAGUGAGCAACUUCUGCUUAAGAAAGGUGGUGGUCCAAGCAUGUAGUUUCUUAAGACUGCUCUCUUCUUCCCCUGUUCUCUCCUGUGCUGCUCUGUAAAGCUCGAUAACUGUCGCCACUUCAAUCGUUUGCAGGUCAACGUGCUCUUGAUCAGCAUACGGAGCCAGUUCCUCUAAACAACGACGAAAAAGGUUCGUUCACAUUUGUGCAUAUAUCUUAGAUUCUUGUACAUCUUAUGUAUAAUUUGAAUGGUGUUUCCACGUACCUGAUGAAACUUCAUAUCCCUUGACACGCAAAAGUCUAAAUGCCAUUGCAUGAAUAGCAGUAUCCGAAAAUAUCGCUCUCUCUUUCCGUUGCCAUAACCUGUUGAUCAUCGAAGCAGAUAUUCAAGCCUCGGCUUCUGAUUCUAUGCAUAAAAGCAAUGUGGAUCAUCUUUUUCAAUUUUGACAUACCUGUAUGUGCCCUCUAGAAUAGUGUCGAUUUCAGGUCGGAAGUAUCGGUCGACUCCCAACCUUUGGAGGGUGUCGAUUAUACAGAGAUUAGAGGGUAUAUCCGCCGCAGGCUGAACAGCCGCAGCUGCCGGAAAGUUACUGUCUUCCCCCUUGAACUUCUCUGCUAUCUUCCCCAUCAAAUCCUGCGAUAAGGGCAUUCAUUCAAAUCGAGUAUAUUUCAUCCGGUGUAGCAUCGGUGACAAGAUUUGGAGGUAUCAUACUUACUGUUGUAGUAAGGUUGCAUUUCACGGCGAAAGAUGACUUGUUGGUGAUCAUCGGAAAUCCUCGGACUGUAACAUGCUUCACCGGAAAAUUUUCUCUCCUGCUCCGAGCCCCGUUGCCGGAGAAAGCGGUGGCUGCCGGGUUGAAGGCGAGCGACAUCUUUAGCUCUGGGGCGGCGGCGGUGAUGCCAGGCUCUGUUUAUGUUGCUGGAUAUGUAUGAAUGGAGUAUCUGAAAAUGAGGAGGGAUUCUUGUAAGAGAUGACAACAAAAGGUUGACUGAAAUAUGCUACUGCAAUGAUGCAUUCAAAUUCAUGAUCAUAUAUAAUAACGGAUAUAAUGUAUUUUUUGCGUUAUUAUAUGAUUAUUUUCUGUCAUGUAGUUAAUAUAGUAUUUUACGAGAGGCGACGAUAUUGUAUACAAGUUGAAUAAAAUUAGUAUUCCCCAAAAAA